rfam:Cronobacter sakazakii ATCC BAA-894, complete genome.
ACGAUUUCCGGCUGGCUCCCGCAAGGGAGCCACGGCACACGAAACAGCUUUGAACCCCAUCAGCCCUGUUCCGUGUGCUGAAUUUUUGACGCAUUCAUUAAUUGGUAUCGCAUGAACCCCAUCGUAAUUAAUCGGCUUCAGCGAAAGCUGGGCUACACUUUUCAUC